rnacentral:rRNA from 1 species
UUAAAAAGCUCGUAGUUGGAUUUCGGAGUGGGCCAGUUGGUCCGCCGCAAGGUGUGUUACUGACUGGUUUGCUCUUCUUCGCAAAGACUGCGUGUGCUCUUCAGUGAGUGUGCGUAGGAUUUACGACGUUUACUUUGAAAAAAUUAGAGUGUUCAAAGCAGGCUAUUGCUUGAAUACAUGAGCAUGGAGUAAUGGAAUAGGACUUUGGUCCCAUUUUGUUGGUUUCUAGGGCCGAAGUAAUGAUUAAGAGGGACAAUUGGGGGCAUCCGUAUUUCGUUGUCAGAGGUGAAAUUCUUGGAUUUACGAAAGACGAACAACUGCGAAAGCACUUGCCAAGAGUGUUUUCAUUAAUCAAGAACGAAAGUUAGAGGAUCGAAGACGAUCAGAUACCGUCCUAGUUCUAACCAUAAACGAUGUCAACUAGGGAUCAGCGGGCGUUAUCGUACGACCCCGUUGGCACCUUACGGGAAACCAAAGUUUCUGGAUUCCGGGGGAAGUAUGGUUGCAAAGCUGAAACUUAAAGGAAUUGACGGAAGGGCACCACCAGGAGUGGAGCCUGUGGCUC